rnacentral:rRNA from 1 species
AUUGAACGCUGGCGGCAUGCUUUACACAUGCAAGUCGAACGGUAACAGGCCUUCGGGUGCUGACGAGUGGCGAACGGGUGAGUAAUGCAUCGGAACAUACCCAGUCGUGGGGGAUAACGUAGCGAAAGUUACGCUAAUACCGCAUACGUCCUGAGGGAGAAAGCGGGGGAUCGCAAGACCUCGCGCGAUUGGAGUGGCCGAUGUCAGAUUAGCUAGUUGGUGGGGUAAAGGCCCACCAAGGCGACGAUCUGUAGCGGGUCUGAGAGGAUGAUCCGCCACACUGGGACUGAGACACGGCCCAGACUCCUACAGGAGGCAGCAGUGGGGAAUUUUGGACAAUGGGGGAAACCCUGAUCCAGCCAUGCCGCGUGCGGGAAGAAGGCCU